GUAAAAGGUUUCUCAGAUUCUGAGCACUGAGAAAAGAGUUUUCAACUCAGGACCACUUGUGUCAGCAGCUUAAAAAAGGAGUGGCAACACAGCUGCUCCAGUGGUCCUCAAUAUGUGGAAGAGAUGAGAAGAUGCCCGCCUUUGUCCUGCACUCCACAGGCCUGGCAUAGGACAGGUGUGGGCAAAGACUGCUGGCUCCUGUGAAGAAGAGGCAUACCUGCUGGAGGAAGCUGCUGCCUGGAUGACAACCGGAAGCUUUCUGAUGGACAAUGGACAGCCAGUCCUGAGCAGAAGAGGCAUAGAAAUACAGAUAACAGGCUGGCACCAUUUGCUAGUUCGCAGUGAAAUCAUGCCUGCCCUCUCCAUGAAAGCUUGCUUUUAGCCAUUUUUAUUUUGUGUCUUUUAGUAGGCUUAUUAAGUCAGGAUAUCUUUGCAAAUAUAUCCAUUAACAAAAUGCAAUAGGUGAUUAUGAAUACAAUAUGUUGUUGGAGGCAGUAGAAAAAAACAAGCUACGUCUUGGUCAGGACAUAAAAUGGCUUAAACAUACCAAAGUUUGUAAA